rnacentral:rRNA from 1 species
UGAGUAACCUGCCCUUAACUCUGGGAUAAGCCUGGGAAACUGGGUCUAAUACCGUAUAUGACUCCUCAUCGCAUGGUGGGGGGUGGAAAGCUUUUUGUGGUUUUGGAUGGACUCGCGGCCUAUCAGCUUGUUGGUGAGGUAAUGGCUCACCAAGGCGACGACGGGUAGCCGGCCUGAGAGGGUGACCGGCCACACUGGGACUGAGACACGGCCCAGACCUCCGUACGGGAGGCAG